rnacentral:rRNA from 1 species
UACGUAGGGUGCGAGCGUUGUCCGGAAUUAUUGGGCGUAAAGAGCUCGUAGGCGGUUUGUCACGUCUGCUGUGAAAUCCCGAGGCUCAACCUCGGGCCUGCAGUGGGUACGGGCAGACUGGAGUGCGGUAGGGGAGAAUGGAAUUCCUGGUGUAGCAGUGGAAUGCGCAGAUAUCAGGAGGAACACCGAUGGCGAAGGCAGUUCUCUGGGCCUGUUCUGACGCUGAGGCGCGAAAGCUAGGGGAGCGAACAGG